rnacentral:rRNA from 1 species
UCAGGCCUAACACAUGCAAGUCGAGCGCGAAAGUCUUCGGAUGAGUAAAGCGGCGAACGGGUGAGUAAUGCAUGGGAAUCUGCCUGGUAGUGGGGGACAACGUCUCGAAAGGGACGCUAAUACCGCAUACGCCCUACGGGGGAAAGGGGGGGAUCUUCGGACCUCUCGCUAUCAGAUGAGCCCAUGUCAGAUUAGCUAGUUGGUGAGGUAAAGGCUCACCAAGGCGACGAUCUGUAACUGGUCUGAGAGGAUGAUCAGUCACACUGGAACUGAGACACGGUCCAGACUCCUACGGGAGGCAGCAGUGGGGAAUAUUGGACAAUGGGGGCAACCCUGAUCCAAAAGGGCCGCGUGUGUGAAGAAGGCCCUAGGG